CAAGGAUUGCGAUAUAAACCCAGGCCUUCCAGCAGGCAAUGGCAACCCCCUUUGGGUCCCCUCCCUUUAUAUGGGAGCUCUGUUUUCACCCUAUUAAAUCUUGCAACUGCACUUUUCUGGUCCAUGUUUGUUACAGCUUGAGCUGAGCUUUCGCUCGCCAUCCACCACUGCUGUUUGCCGUUGUGCCGGACCCGCCACUGACUUCUAUCCCUCCGGAUCCGGCAGGGUGUCUGCUGUGCUCCUGAUCCAGCGAGGCGCCCAUUGCUGCUCCCGAUCAGGCUAAAGGCUUGCCAUUGUUCCUGCACGGCUAAGUGCCUGGGUUCGUCCUAAUCGAGCUGAACACUAGUUACUGGGUUCCAUGGUUCUCUUCUGUGAUCCAUGGCUUCUAAUAGAGGUAUAACACUCACCUGGCAUGGCCCAGGAUUCCAUUCCUUGGGAUCCGUGAGGCCAAGAACCCCAGGUCAGAGAACACGAGGCUUGCCACCAUCUUGGAAGCGGCCCACCACCAUCUUGGAAGCUGCUAGCCACCAUCUUGGAAGUUCUGUGAACAAGGACCCCCGGUAACAUUUUGGCGACCACGAAGGGACCUCCAAAGUGUGUGGAAAUGGGCACCUUUGACUGAACCAUGUUUCUUGCUCGGUAUUGAAAAAUGACCUCAUUCCUUUGUAAGUAUUAGUCACAUUUUAAUGGGGACAUAUUCAACGUUUGUACAAGAACUCCCAAAUCUUCUGAAAGCAUUAUCAUCACACAUGGGUGAAUUUCAAUUACCGAUGGUGCCACCAAUUCAGUGUUCUUCCUAUAUUAUGAUCACAGAUGAAGGUGAGUUUUUAGAUGGUCAGUGACUAAAGGCUUUGAAGCAACUGAUGUCACUUGCUUUCCAUUUGUAUCCUUUCUGCUCUUAAUUGUUGCUUCUGCUAGUAAGCAGGAUGUAUUAUCCAAAACAUACUAGGCUUUGAAAAUGCAAGCUCUUUUGCUAUGCAUUAAUAUGAUCAUUUUUCUAAGUUAAUGCAUCAUCAUUACUUCCCACUUGGCACAUGGGAAAAUGUAGCACAAGCAGAACUAGGGUUUGAAGUCAAACCUCAAAAAAGAAAAAAAAAUAGAUUUUGCUCUUUAAUAGAAAAGAGAAGAAGUAAGGGCUGCAAGCAAAACAAAAAUAACUCUUGAGUUGUAUUUGGAAAAUGGCUGCUAGACAGGCAGAAUUUCUUGAGCACUUGGACUGAAGAUGGUCAUACAGUAUGAGAUGCUUUGCUUUUUCCAUUCAGGCAGAAUGUGGUUGAAAGGUGCUUUUAAAUGUCAUUCCAAGUAUGGCAGAGGUGCAGACCAAGGAAAGCCUUUAGAAUCCAUUAGGUUGCUUUUAAGAUUCCCCCCCGCCACUUUACCAUCUGAAAAUUAUUUUCUCCACUGUCAACAGGAGAUAAUAACAUCUAUCUUGCACGAUUGUUGUGUAAAGCAGUGAUCACAGUGCUGAUAUAGAGCAGCUACUCAAUAAAAAGAAAGGGUUUUGAAUGUUAAUGAGAGAAGUUAAAACCUGUUCAGACAAGCAAGAAGCAACAAACUCUUCCCUGAGAUUUAUUUUCCUUGUCUGUAAAUACAGUAACAGGACCUUAUUCUUUGGGUUGGAGUGAGGAUUAAAUCAAUAAAGCACAUGAAAAUAUGUUGCACAGAGC
rnacentral:lncRNA from 10 species